GAGAACCCUCUUCUUUGGAUGCUGAAGGCAUUUCGGAAUCUUCAACAACAUUAACAGGAAAAAUUGGAACAGUUUUCAAAGAAUCCUUUGAUCUCAGUCCAACAAUAUUUUCAGUCAUCGUCAUGGCUCCAGGAGAAACCGAAGGUGAUAUCGAUGCCCCUUCCUGUUUGUUAGAAGCCUCAGCGAAAUCAGCGGUAGGAGCUGGUAACAUUUGCCCAGAACCAUCAUCCUGAGACUUUAGUGGUCGACUUUCUUUGUUUAUCUCAAGCAAAUCCUUCUCCACAAGGGUUUCCGAAUCAAUGGCGACAGUGCCUUGAGCUGAAGUAUCAUCAGACUGAUCAACAGGAGUAAUGCGACAAUCCAAAUCAACACCGCUAGAUCUAUGGAUUUCAGGUGACUCAGUUUUCUUUGGAGAACCUUGUUCAUUGGAUACUGAAUGCAUUUUGGAAUCUUCAACAACAUUAGCAGGAAAAACUGGAACAGAUUCCAAGGAAUCGUUUGAUCUCAGUCCAACCAUAUUUUCAAUCAUCGUCCUUGCUCCAGGAGAAACCGAAGGUGAUAUCGAUGCCCCUGCCUGUUUGUUAGAAGCCUCAGCGAUAUCAGCGUUAGGACCAGCAUCCUCAGACUCUAGUGGUCGACUUUCUUUAUUUAUCUCAAGUAAAUCCUUCUCCACAAGGUUUUCCGAAUCAAUGGGGAUAGUGCCUUGACCUGAAGUAUCAUCAGGCUGAUCAACAGGAGUAAGGCGACAAUCCAAAUCAACACCGCUAGAUCUAUGGAUUUCAGGUGACUCAGUUUUCUUUGGAGAACUCUGUUCAUUGGAUGCUGAAGGCAUUUCGGAAUCUUCAACAACAUUAACAGGAAAAAUUGGAACAGUUUCCAAAGAAUCCUUUGAUCUCAGUCCAACAAUAUUUUCAGUCAUCGUCAUGGCUCCAGGAGAAACCGAAGGUGAUAUCGAUGCCCCUUCCUGUUUGUUAGAAGCCUCAGCGAAAUCAGCGGUAGGAGCUGGUAACAUUUGCCCAGAACCAUCAUCCUGAGACUUUAGUGGUCGACUUUCUUUGUUUAUCUCAAGCAAAUCCUUCUCCACAAGGGUUUCCGAAUCAAUGGCGACAGUGCCUUGAGCUGAAGUAUCAUCAAUCUGAUCAACAGGAGUAAUGCGAGAAUCCAAAUCAACACCGCUAGAUCUACGGAUUUCAG
rnacentral:lncRNA from 1 species